rnacentral:rRNA from 1 species
AACGAACGCUGGCGGCAUGCCUAACACAUGCAAGUCGAACGAGACCUUCGGGUCUAGUGGCGCAUGGGUGCGUAACGCGUGGGAACCUGCCCUUAGGUUCGGAAUAACUCCCCGAAAGGGGUGCUAAUACCGGAUAAUGUCUUCGGACCAAAGAUUUAUCGCCUUUGGAUGGGCCCGCGUUGGAUUAGGUAGUUGGUAGGGUAAAAGCCUACCAAGGCGACGAUCCAUAGCUGGUCUGAGAGGAUGAUCAGCCACACUGGGACUGAGACACGGCCCAGACUCCUACGGGAGGCAGCAGUGGGGAAUAUUGGACAAUGGGCGAAAGCCUGAUCCAGCAAGGCCGCGUGAGUGAUGAAGGCCUUAGGGUUGUAAAGCUCUUUUACCCGGGAUGAUAAUGACAGUACCGGGAGAAUAAGCUCCGGCUAACUCCGUG